rnacentral:rRNA from 1 species
CCUACGGGUGGCAGCAGUGAGGAAUAUUGGUCAAUGGGCGGGAGCCUGAACCAGCCAAGUCGCGUGAAGGAAGAAGGAUCUAUGGUUUGUAAACUCCUUUUAUAGGGGAAUAAAGGUAUCCACGUGUGGAUAUUUGCAUGUACCCUAUGAAUAAGCAUAGGCUAACUCCGUGCCAGAAGCCGCGGUAAUAUGGAGGAUGCGAGCGUUAUCCGGAUUUAUUGGGUUUAAAGGGAGCGUAGAUGGGUUGUUAAGUCAGCUGUGAAAGUUUGCGGCUCAACCGUAAAAUUGCAAUUGAUACUGGCAGUCUGGAGUGCAGUUGAGGUAGGCGGAAUUCGUGGUGUAGCGGUGAAAUGCUUAGAUAUCACGAAGAACUCCGAUUGCGAAGGCAGCUUACUAAACUGCAACUGACAUUGAUGCUCGAAAGUGUGGGUAUCAAACAGGAUUAGAUACCCUGGUAGUC